AACGAACGCUGGCGGCAUGCCUAACACAUGCAAGUCGAACGAGAGAUUCGGGUUUGGUGGCGCACGGGGGGGUAAAGGGGGGGAAAAUGCCCAUAGGUUUGGAAUAACUCCCGGAAAGGGGUGCUAAUACGGGAGAAAGUAUUGGGACCGAAGAGAUAUCGCAAGUGGGGGGGCCUGGGUUGGAUUAGUUAGAUGGUAGGGUAAAAGCCUACCAAGGCGAGGAGCCUUAACUGGUCUGAGAGGAUGAUAAGCCACACUGGAACUGAGACACGGUCCAGACUCCUACGGGAGGCAGCAGUGGGGAAUAUUGGACAAUGGGCGAAAGCCUGAUCCAGCCAUGCCGCGUGUGUGAAGAAGGUCCUCGGAUUGUAAAGCACUUUAAGUUGGGAGGAAGGGCAGUAAGUUAAUACCUUGCUGUUUUGACGGUACCAACAGAAUAAGCACCGGCUAACUUCGUG
rnacentral:rRNA from 1 species